rnacentral:rRNA from 1 species
CUACCAUGGCAGUCACGGGUAACGGAGAAUUAGGGUUCGAUUCCGGAGAAGGAGCCUGAGAAACGGCUACUACAACUACGGUUUGGCAGCAGGGAAGAAAAUUGGCCAAUCCUAAUUCAGGGAGCCAGUGACAAGAAAUAGCAGACCGGGAAACUUAGUUUCUACGGUACUGAAAUGAGAACAGUGUUAAUCUCUUAGCGAGAAACAAUUGGAGGGCAAGCCUGGUGCCAGCAGCCGCGGUAAUUCCAGCUCCAAUAGCGUAUAUUAAAGUUGUUGCAGUUAAAAAGCUCGUAGUUGAACUUCUGUCCAGGUUCGUCUUGGCUCGCCAGGACAAUUCUGGACAUACGUCUGCAAGCUAAAAUCGGCCUUCACUGGUACGACUUAGUAAGUAGACAUUUUACUGUGAAAAAAUUAGAGUGUUUCAGGCAGGUUUUAGCCCGUAUACAUUAGCAUGGAAUAAUGGAAUAGGACUAAGUCCAUUUUAUUGGUUCUUGGAUUUGGUAAUGAUUAAUAGGGACAGUUGGGGGCAUUAGUAUUUAAUAGUCAGAGGUGAAAUUCUUGGAUUUAUUAAGGACUAACUAAUGCGAAAGCAUUUGCCAAAGAUGUUUUCAUUAAUCAAGAACGAAAGUUAGGGGAUC